GACGAACGCUGGCGGCGUGCUUAACACAUGCAAGUCGAACGGAAAGGCCCUGCUUUUGUGGGGUGCUCGAGUGGCGAACGGGUGAGUAACACGUGAGUAACCUGCCCUUGACUUUGGGAUAACUUCGGGAAACUGGGGCUAAUACCGGAUAGGAGCUCCUGCUGCAUGGUGGGGGUUGGAAAGUUUCGGCGGUUGGGGAUGGACUCGCGGCUUAUCAGCUUGUUGGUGGGGUAGUGGCUUACCAAGGCUUUGACGGGUAGCCGGCCUGAGAGCGUGACCGGCCACAUUGGGACUGAGAUACGGCCCAGACUCCUACGGGAGGCAGCAGUGGGGAAUAUUGCACAAUGGGCGGAAGCCUGAUGCAGCAACGCCGCGUGCGGGAUGACGGCCUUCGGGUUGUAAACCGCUUUCGCCUGUGACGAAGCGUGAGUGACGGUAAUGGGUAAAGAAGCACCGGCUAACUACGUG
rnacentral:rRNA from 1 species